GAUGAACGCUAGCUACGGGCUUAACACAUGCAAGUCGAGGGGCAGCAGGGAUUUAGCUUGCUAAAUUCGCUGGCGACCGGCGCACGGGUGCGUAACGCGUAUCCAACCUUCCCGUUACUCUGGGAUAGCCUUCCGAAAGGGAGAUUAAUACCGGAUGGUGUUCAAAUGUCGCAUGUUAUUUGAACUAAAGAUUUAUCGGUAACGGAUGGGGAUGCGUGACAUUAGAUAGUAGGCGGGGUAACGGCCCACCUAGUCUACGAUGUCUAGGGGUUCUGAGAGGAAGAUCCCCCACGCUGGAACUGAGACACGGUCCAG
rnacentral:rRNA from 1 species